CCUGGGAACGGCGGCCAGCAGGAAGCUGGGCGGCGAGGUGCCUGGACGGCAGGAAUCUGGGCGGUUAGGAGGAGAUCGUGGGCAGGAGGAGAAGCUGGGCGAGGUGCCGAGGUGGGCAGGGGGAGAUCUGGGCGAGGUGGGUGGCGACGAGCUGGGCGAGGUGGGCGGAGACGAGCUUACGAAGGGGCUGUUUAUUUCCCA
rnacentral:lncRNA from 1 species